rnacentral:rRNA from 1 species
UACGUAGGGAGCAAGCGUUGUCCGGAAUCAUUGGGCGUAAAGCGCGCGUAGGCGGCCCCGUAAGUCCGCUGUGAAAGUCAAAGGCUCAACCUUUGAAAGCCGGUGGAUACUGUGGGGCUAGAGUCCGGAAGAGGCGAGUGGAAUUCCUGGGUGUAGCGGUGGAAUGCGCAGAUAUCAGGAGGAACACCAAUAGCGAAGGCAGCUCGCUGGGACGGUAGCUGACGCUAAGGCGCGAAAGCGUGGGGAGCGAACAGG